rnacentral:rRNA from 1 species
GACGAACGCUGGCGGCGUGCCUAAUACAUGCCAGUUGAGCGCUGAAGGUUGGUACUUGUACCAACUGGAUGAGCAGCGAACGGGUGAGUAACGCGUGGGGAAUCUGCCUUUGAGCGGGGGACAACAUUUGGAAACGAAUGCUAAUACCGCAUAAAAACUUUAAAUACAAGUUUUAAGUUUGAAAGAUGCAAUUGCAUCACUCAAAGAUGAUCCCGCGUUGUAUUAGCUAGUUGGUGAGGUAAAGGCUCACCAAGGCGAUGAUACAUAGCCGACCUGAGAGGGUGAUCGGCCACAUUGGGACUGAGACACGGCCCAAACUCCUACGGGAGGCAGCAGUAGGGAAUCUUCGGCAAUGGACGAAAGUCUGACCGAGCAACGCCGCGUGAGUGAAGAAGGUUUUCGGAUCGUAAAACUCUGUUGGUAGAGAAGAACGUUGGUGAGAGUGGAAAGCUCAUCAAGUGACGGUAACUACCCAGAAAGGGACGGCUAACUACGUG